rnacentral:rRNA from 1 species
AGCAGCCGCGGUAAUUCCAGCUCCAAUAGCGUAUAUUAAAGUUGUUGCAGUUAAAAAGCUCGUAGUUGAAUUUCGGGGUUCUACCGUUGGUCGGGCUUUGUCUGUACUGGCGUGUAGAAUUUCUACCUUCUGGGGAACUAUCAUGUUAUUAAUUUAGCGUGGUAGGAAACCAGAACCUUUACCUUGAAAAAAUUAGAGUGUUCAAAGCAGGCUUAUGUCUGAAUACAUUAGCAUGGAAUAAUAAAAUAGGACGGUGGUCCUGUUUUGUUGGUUUCUGAAUCACCGUAAUGAUUAAUAGGGAUAGUUGGGGGCAUUAGUAUUCAAUUGUCAGAGGUGAAAUUCUUGGAUUUAUUGAAGACUAACUACUGCGAAAGCAUUUGCCAAGGAUGUUUUCAUUAAUCAAGAACGAAAGUUAGGGGAUCGAAGACGAUCAGAUACCGUCGUAGUCUUAACCAUAAACUAUGCCGACUAGGGAUCGGACGAUGUUAGCUUUUCCUGACUCGUUCGGCGCCUUACGGGA